CCCUCCUCUUCCCCAGAUUACUACUUUGUAACCAGGGAGGUGAUGCAGCGUGACAUAGCAGCCGGCGACUUCAUCGAGCAUGCCGAGUUCUCGGGGAACCUGUAUGGCACGAGGUGGCGGUGCAGGCUGUGCAGGCCAUGAACCGCAUCUGUGUGCUGGACGUGGACCUGCAGGGUGUGCGGAACAUCAAGGCCACCGAUCUGCAGCCCAUCUACAUCUCUGUGCAGCCACCUUCACUGCAUGUGCUGGUGUGUGCUGGGCAGGGUUGGGGGCUGGGGGCCAGGGCAUGCCAGGCUCUGAUUGCCACCCCCUUUUUAGGAGCAGCGGCUGCGGCAGCGCAACACUGAAACGGAGGAGAGCCUGGUGAAGCGGCUGGCUGCUGCCCAGGCCGACAUGGAGAGCA
rnacentral:sRNA from 1 species